UCAAGGUGGAUUCAUACUAGACAACGAUGAAGGACUGUUUCUGAUAUGAAGGACACAUUUGCACUGGAAGUAACCAGAAUCCCCAUUUCACUAUUCCAGAAUAUGGAGAACUUAUUAGCCCAUAUUCCAUGCGGAGAAGAACUUGAGACAGCUCCAGGUAAUUCUAACCUGCGGUCAGCGUUGAGAACUUCUGCUAAGGUUCGCAUCGGGUGACAAGUUUGCUGCGGGUGAAUUUAACAAGAAAUGGUCUCAAUGAACAAAUCAGUUGCUGUGCAGAGAUUGGUCCCAAACAUUCUUCCUGGGCAGUAACUGUUUAUUACUCACUUGGACUCAAUUCUUCCCCCAAACUACAAGUCAGGUGUAAUUGUUCUCUACCACUCAAGUUUGACAAUAAAAUAUUGUUAAACCCACA